rnacentral:rRNA from 1 species
AACGAACGCUGGCGGCAGGCCUAACACAUGCAAGUCGAACGCCCUAGCAAUAGGGAGUGGCAGACGGGUGAGUAACACGUGGGAACCUUCCCUAUAGUACGGAAUAGCUCAGGGAAACUUGAAGUAAUACCGUAUACGCCCGAGAGGGGAAAGAUUUAUCGCUAUAGGAUGGGCCCGCGUCGGAUUAGCUAGUUGGUGAGGUAAUGGCUCACCAAGGCGACGAUCCGUAGCUGGUUUGAGAGAACGACCAGCCACACUGGGACUGAGACACGGCCCAGACUCCUACGGGAGGCAGCAGUGGGGAAUAUUGGACAAUGGCGGCAAGCCUCGAUCCAGCCAUGCCGCGUGGG